UGGGGUGUGGCGCAGCGGUAAAGCACUCGCCUCCCAUGUGUGAGGCACUGGGUUCGAUCCUCAGCACCACAU
rnacentral:tRNA from 1 species